rnacentral:tRNA from 1 species
UCGGAUAGCUCACUUGUAAAGACAAGGACUGAAUCUCGUGUCAACAGUCCAAU